rfam:Brassica rapa chromosome A4, whole genome shotgun sequence.
UGUCCGAUGCCACGUCGACGAUAGCUAUUCAUGGCUGUGAUCGUCGAUGCUACAUUGGACAUAAACAGAUGUUUGUGUUUCGCUUUUCUGAUAGGAACCUGUUGAUCGAUCUUAUGAUCUACGGGGCCAUUUCGGCGGUUACAUUU